UCUCAGUUCGGACUGCAGUCUGCAACUCGACUGCACGAAGCUGGAAUCGCUAGUAAUCGCGGAUCAGCACGCCGCGGUGAAUACGUUCCCGGGCCUUGUACACACCGCCCGUCACACCAUGGAAGUCUGCAAUGCCCGAAGCCGGUGGCCUAACCACUUAUGUGGAAGGAGCCGUCUAAGGCAGGGCAGAUGACUGGGGUGAAGUCGUAACAAGGUACC
rnacentral:rRNA from 1 species